UACGCAGGGCGCAAGCGUUAUCCGGAAUUAUUGGGCGUAAAGAGCUCGUAGGCGGUUUGUCGCGUCUGCCGUGAAAGUCCGGGGCUUAACCCCGGAUCUGCGGUGGGUACGGGCAGACUAGAGUGCAGUAGGGGAGACUGGAAUUCCUGGUGUAGCGGUGAAAUGCGCAGAUAUCAGGAGGAACACCGAUGGCGAAGGCAGGUCUCUGGGCUGUAACUGACGCUGAGGAGCGAAAGCAUGGGGAGCGAACAGG
rnacentral:rRNA from 1 species